rnacentral:rRNA from 1 species
UACAGAGGGUGCGAGCGUUAAUCGGAAUUACUGGGCGUAAAGCGCACGUAGGUGGUUUUGCAAGUCGAGUGUGAAAGCCCCGGGCUCAACCUGGGAACUGCAUUCGAGACUGCAUUACUCGAGUAUGGGAGAGGGCAGCGGAAUUUCCGGUGUAGCGGUGAAAUGCGUAGAUAUCGGAAGGAACAUCAGUGGCGAAAGCGGCUGCCUGGCCCAAUACUGACACUCAAGUGCGAAAGCGUGGGGAGCAAACAGG